rnacentral:misc_RNA from 1 species
GUGAAUCAUCAAAUUUUUGAACGCAAAUUGCCCUUCCUUGCAUCCCGGGAAGUAUGCCUGUUUGAGGGUCAGUAUUAAUAAAAAAUCGGUUUGGUUGCAAAUUGUGACGUUUCCGGAGUUUUGGCUAUCUUAACUUUUUUGGUUAAGGGGCUUAAAACUGACCUUUUUUGCGCAUUUUUAGCCGUACAUAAAUUUUUUUUUUUUCGUCUAUUCUUAAUGCCAAAACCUUAUUAGAUGCGAUCACAUCGUGUGGUUUCGUGUCCAUAAAAUUCUCAUGAUUUUACCUCAAAUCAGGUAGGAG